rnacentral:rRNA from 1 species
GGUUUAUUUGGAUCAUACCCGUUAAAUGGAUAACUGUAAUAACUCUAGAGCUAAUACAUGCCUUGAAGCCCUGACUCAGUUUCGGCUGGGAAUGGGUGCACUUAUUAGAUCAGAAGCCAACUGAUCGGGCUAACACCCGGUCAAAGCACUUCUGGUGACUCUGGAUAAUUGUUACAGAUCGCAGUCGGCCUUUGAGUCGGCGACGGGUCCUUCAAAUGUCUGCCCUAUCAACUUUCGAUGGUAGGUGACCUGCCUACCAUGGUGAUAACGGGUAACGGGGAAUCAGGGUUCGAUUCCGGAGAGGGAGCCUGAGAAACGGCUACCACUUCCAAGGGAGGCAGCAGGCGCGCAAAUUACCCACUCCCAGCACGGGGAGGUGGUGACGAAAAAUACCGAUGCGGGACUCCUAUGAGGCUCCGUAAUCGGAAUGAGUGGACUCUAAAUCCUUUCACGAGGAUCAAUUGGAGGGCAAGUCUGGUGCCAGCAGCCGCGGUAACUCCAGCUCCAAUAGCGUAUAUUAAAGUUGCUGCAGUUAAAAAGCUCGUAGUUGGAUCUCGGUCGCAUUUUUGCCUGUCGGUAUUAUUGGGCGGCGGCGCUGGGCUGUCGGCGUGCCGUGGUUGUGUGCGGGUAGCCCGAGAGGGUCCGUGCAUGGCUGCGGUCGUUGGCAGUCCGUCAAACGUGCUGUCGUCCCAAGCUGGCAUGGCGAGGAUGUAACCUGUAAGCCAUGUCUGUGGAGUAACAUCCACAGGUGUAUGCGGGUGUCGGGCAGUGCACUGCACUUGUUGUGGAGCCUGUCGG